CAGGAAAUAUCUCGUCUUAUUUUUUUGAUCUUCUACUGAAGAGCCAAUCACCAAGUGGAGACCAAACAAGGCGGGUCAGAACCAGAACCUUCCAGGACAUCAGAUAUGAACAACUCGGGUUAUUUCUGGCCGCACAGCUGAGAUAUUUAUGAACAUGAAGAUAACUAAUAAUAUAUAAGGCAGUGAACACGGAGACCUGCGUCAGAAAUAAACCGCUGCGUCAUUUCACAGACUCAUCCUUUAAAUUUAGCCUCGCUCUGCUGCAGGAAGCCCAGCCUUUCACAAUAAAAGCAGGUUGAAAUAUGAAAUAUUUGUUUCAGGAACUAUUUAGAGAAAGGAACCGGAACCAGCUAUGAUUUAUCCAGAACUCUGUGUGGAUUAUCUGUAGCUGGACGCAAAGGAAGCAGCUGGAAAUAAGUCAUUCAGUCGGUUCGGAUCGUUCAGACGAGUCCAAACGAUGAUAAAGAUGGCCGCCACCAUCCCUGAAUGGGUUUUGCUGAGAGCAACAUCAUGGUCAAAGAAAGCUAACAGCUAACAGCAACAGCCUUUAGUGGAUCUGCAGCUUCUGACCCGGUUCUGUUUGGAUGUUGGGCCAAACAGAACUGGGUUGUGAUGCGUUCACUGACUGCUUCAUCAGAUUUACCGUCUGGCUCCUUCUGCAGCUGAAUUGUGACGCAUGUCGGCUGAAACGCGACGUUCAGCCUGCAGACGUCUGGAAACGAUGGGAUUUAGUUCAGUCGCCCGUCAGGCUGCACGCUGGCGCAGUCGACAGCAGCGUGGCCUGGCAGCACGAAGCUCCUGGGUUUGAUUCCUCCCUCAGUCCAGGUUGACGGGUCUCUAAGUUCUCUUGUCUGGAUGGGUGUUUGUGUCUCUAUGUUGUCCUGAGAUGGACUGGAGACCUCUCGCCCUUUGACCUCUGGAGGUAGACAGCAGCACCCUCUGGACCCCGAUAAGGAUGAAGAGGAUCAGAUUUGUUUUUUAUUUUGGGUAAAAUGAGGUGGGAAAUGUGCAGCAGAGGAACAUCGACUGAUUCUAGAAAACUGAUUCUAGAAAACUGCUGCUGAAACGCAGCUCAGCAUUUUUUACAGUGUGGAGUGGUGAACUUCAGAUCUGCUAGAGUUCAUCCAAGAAUCACUUCCUGUAGCGAGAAAGGCUUUCAUUCAGAACCACGCUCCCAGGGUGAACCGGAACCAACCCGGUCCGGUCCGGUCCAGGUCCAAACUGCCUGGAUUUCAUUGAAGUUUUUUCAAGGUUUGGAAAAUUCUUGAUUUCAGGUCCUUGAAAAUUCUUGAUAUUCAAACUGCACAGUUUAGUAAUAAAGUUUAGUAAUAAAGUUUAGUAAUAAAGUUUGAUUAAAAGCUCAACAUUCUUUACAUAUUUCAUGUUUUUUGUUCCUCGCUGCCUGGAGUUAAAUCAGAACAAACUUUUCUGGUUUUAGGUCAGUUUUUAAUUUGAUCAGGAAUUUGAUUUACCUUAACAGGACUCAUUUGGAAAAUCUAAUAUUUAUCAUUCCUAACGGCUCAGUGACUUAUUGGUUAUUAUUAACACUAAGUUUAGCUUCUAUUUGAGUUGUUAAACAAUGUCAAUGAAAUCUGAUCUAUCAAACAGAAGAGAAAGUGACGAAUGAGAGUCGAGUUCUUGAGGAUUUUUCUAGGAAGAAUCUCUCUGCUCACAUUGCUGGUUGUUAUUCUCAAUUCAAAAUCUAUAUAAAGACCAAAUAUUUUCAAUUCAGAAAUCCUUUCUGCAUCUAAAUGAUUGAAUAAGUUCAUAUUGGAAUAAUAAUAGAAACAUUUUCAUGCGUUGGAGUUUGUGUAAUGAAUUGAGUGACACUAACGAUGUUAACUCCAGUAACUCCUGUGGUUUCCACACCUUUCAUCCCCAUAAACAUUCACUAUUCAGACUGGGAAACGUGUCACACAAAGAGAAACAAGGUGUUUGUGUCCAUCUGGCCCGCAG